rnacentral:rRNA from 1 species
UACGUAGGGGGCAAGCGUUGUCCGGAUUUAUUGGGCGUAAAGGGUGCGUAGGCGGCGCGGUAAGUCGGGGGUGAAAUCUCGGGGCUUAACUCCGAAACUGCAUUCGAUACUGCCGUGCUUGAGGACUGGAGAGGAGACUGGAAUUUACGGUGUAGCGGUGAAAUGCGUAGAUAUCGUAAGGAAGACCAGUGGCGAAGGCGGGUCUCUGGACAGUUCCUGACGCUGAGGCACGAAGGUCAGGGGAGCAAACGGG